rnacentral:tRNA from 1 species
AGCCUUGUAGUGUCUAAGCACGUAAGAUUGCAAAUCUUAAGGAGCAAAUUGGCGUUUGCCGGGGCUU